CCUACGGGAGGCUGCAGUGGGGAAUAUUGCACAAUGGGCGAAAGCCUGAUGCAGCGACGCCGCGUGAGUGAAGAAGGUUUUCGGUAUGUAAAGCUCUAUCAGCAGGGAAGAAAAGAGACGGUACCUGACUACGAAGCAUCGACUAAAUACGGACCAGCAGCCGCGGUAAUACGGAGGGGGCAAGCGUUAUCCGGAAUUACUGGGUGUAAAGGGAGCGUAGACGGCGCGGCAAGUCUGGAGUGAAAGGCCAGGGCUUAACCCCGGAACUGCCUUGGAAACUGGCAUGCUAGAGUGCUGGAGAGGUAAGUGGAAUUCCUAGUGUAGCGGUGAAAUGCGUAGAUAUCAGGAGGAACACCAGUGGCGAAGGCGGCUUACUGGACAGUAACUGACGCUGAGGCGCGAAAGCGUGGGGAGCAAACAGGAUUAGAUACCCUGGUAGUC
rnacentral:rRNA from 1 species